rnacentral:lncRNA from 1 species
CUCAAAAUGGCUACUUUCCACAGUCACACAGGCUUUUGAAAUGUAUAUAGACCCAAUUUCUCUGAAACUUUUCUGACACCUCCACUGUCUUCUUUUCCCCCAAAUUUUGGCAAAAUAGGCUGGAAAUCCAAGUUGGCUCUACCAAAAAUGUAAUAUUUGUGGGAUUGAAGAAGUACAGGGGAUAAGGAAGGUUUUGUAACAUGGAAUGGGGGGAUUUGAAGGGAGAGAGGGAAUAUGGCUGCUGGUGAGGUUAAAGAAGAGAGAUACCCCCUGCUGAGAGGCUAUCUUUGAAAAUUGGUUCUUGAGAAAUGGGUCACCUAUGAUAGCCUGAGGAAAUUUCUUCUCUAUUGAUGGAUGUUGAAGAUACCGCAGAGCAGAUGAAUAAAUUGAGGCCCAGUAAGGUCAAGUGACUUGUUCAAGUCCACAGAUACACUAAGUGGCAGACCUGGGAUUCAAGAUAAGCACUGCUGUUCUUCUACAAAGUGAUCCUAUAGAGAUGUCCUCAAUUCUCUCCAAAAUCAAAGAAUGGCAAAUAAUAUUAAUAAAAAUAAUAUCAACAAAAGUUCAAGGACAUCUCUGCUUUGACAUCUUCUGGAAAUACCAAGGAACUUAUUGGAAUAGUCAAGAACAUACUGGAACAAUCAGGAACAUGCAUACAAGAUUUUUACAUGUGCAUGUAAGAUUGAAAUUUUCAUUGUGCAUGGAAUCUUCCUGGCUUGGAAAUCAGUACUAUAUUGGUGCCAUAAAAAGAAUUUGGUAAGUCUCCUACUUUGCUUACUUUGUCAAAUAGUUUGUACAAUUUCGGAGUUAGUUGUUCUUUAAAUGUUUGAUAGAAUUCACUUGUGAAUCCAUCUGACCCUGGGGAUUUUUUCUUAUGGAAUUCCUUGAUGGCUUGUUCAAUUUCUUUUUUCUGAUAUGGGAUUAUUUAAGUAUUCUGUUUCUUCUUUUGUUAAUCUAGGCAAUUUA